GCCUUCGGUGGUAUAGUGGCUAGCACCUAUGAAUGCGGAUUAUGUGUCGUGGGUUCGAAUCCCGGCCAUGGACU